UACGUAGGGUGCGAGCGUUGUCCGGAUUUAUUGGGCGUAAAGAGCGUGUAGGCGGCCAGGUAGGUCUGGUGUGAAAACUCGAGGCUUAACCUCGAGAUGUCAUCGGAAACCAUCUGGCUAGAGUCCGGAAGAGGAGAAUGGAAUUCCUGGUGUAGCGGUGAAAUGCGCAGAUAUCAGGAAGAACACCCGUGGCGAAGGCGGUUCUCUGGGACGGUACUGACGCUGAGACGCGAAAGCGUGGGGAGCGAACAGG
rnacentral:rRNA from 1 species